CAUACAUUAAUUUCCUAAUAGUCUUUUGGAAAACUCUUAUUUUACUUAUUCACGCUAUAGAUGGAAAACUUAAGAAGGUUUUGUGACCUGUUUUUGGUACACUGCUGCCAUUGUCCUGGCUGACACUUUUUAAUAUUGUCUUUGAAAAACUAAUACUUUUUUAAAUACCUUUUUGGCAGUGUGGAGUUUGCAUCAGAGGAUUUGAAGUCUCAGAUCUACUACUUACUAGGUCAUUCUGAUGACGCUGAGGACCACUGAUUUAGGAGGUGUUUGGGGAAAGACCAAUAGUCCAGCUAAAAUACAAGGUCCAUGAAGGAGAGCCAGAAUGGAAGGGCCAGAUCACUGAAGACUUUCCCCAGGCUUUGUGCUGAAUUUGAGACAUAUAACCCAUGAAUACUACACCUAGUCUAUAAAGAUCUAAAAGGAGCUCGACAAUUGUUAUUCUAGACUAUGCCCAAAAGACAGUUUCUCAAAUCAAUGAAAAUAAUUGAAUAAUUACUAAAACUUUAAAGACAAAGUGAACAGAUGAAGUGCAUACCAUCCUCCAAUUUGGUUAAAAAAAAGCCAAAUUCCUUCAUCAAAGCCAUCGUGGAAAAAAACUAAAAGGACCAGAUGGAGAACCACAGGCUGCAUGGUAAUGUUAUUAGGUGGACUCAACAACAAAACCCCAAAACUGAUCAGCAUCAUCUAAUAGCAUAUCAUAGGACUCUGUACUCAAGCUGAAAUUUUCAAGCUUUUUAUCAAUAACUUGAAUAAUGACACAUAAGACCUUCCUACCAAGAACUGUAUCUUAGAAGUAGAAUUAAGACGUUUAAUGGCAGAAGGAGAUUUAAAUUCAUGCAUUCAUACAAGGAAAAAAUUACUGAGUGAUUACUAUGUGCUAGGUGGCAAAUCCUGGGCAAUAUACAAAUAAAAAAUAUGCUAUGUCUUCAAGAAAUUUAUGACCUAGUAAAAGAGACAGACAAAUAAAUGAUUAUGCUGCAGUGUGAAAAGUGCUGCAAUAGAGAAAUGUACACAUGACUAAGAAAAACAGAAGUGUUACCUGACUCCCAGUGGAAGAUUCUAGGAAGAUUUGGGAUGUGAAAGUGAAGAUAUCAGAUAUUGAUCACCACUGUGGCUUCCCAGAGAGGAUAUAAGGGAUGCGACUACUGUGGAUAUGACUGUUCCACCUUGGGAAAGCAAGCUCUUUGGGCCAUGGUGGAUGCCUGCAAGGUCUCUCUGCAGCCAGAGUCAGGCAGAGAAAAAGAUCGACUGAUCCUUUCUGCCCUUUCUUGUUUUCUGAAGCCUUGGGUAUUUCCAAUGGGAAAUGGCUGAUGGGAUAUGAUUUGAGGUAGGCAUGAAAAUAGGUUUCAUUGUAAAAAUGUUCCAUAGUAAAUCUGUAUAACAAGAAAAGUGAAAGGUUAAGUUCUCUGUGAAAUUCAAUUCACUAUCAACAUGUUCUGCCUUUAUCAUAAAAUAAAAGCUACAGUAAGUGGCUCCACCUCUCCAGUGACAUAUCAGAGGAAGGGACUUUGGAAUCAGAGUUAGGUUACUUACUACCUUCUUUACUGAAUAUUUAACAAUAUUUCACGGAAUACAGAAGAAAUAAAUACAUUUCACCAAUUUUAAGAUGAUCUCCAAGUCUGAAUUCUAACAUAUGUAUAAGGAAUAAUAAAUUUAAAAAAAAAUUCCUUUUAAGAACUCAAUAGAUGUAAGGACAUCAAAAUACUCAAAUAAAGCAAGGUGCCUAUUUCAGAUGCUGUCAGUAUUAAAUCUCAAGGAAAUACAGUUAACACAUCACUUAACAACAGGGGAUACCUUCUGAGAAAUGUGUCGUCAGGCAAUUUCGCCAUUGUGCAAACACUAUAGAGCAUACUGAAGGGCAACAAAAUUUGCCACCCCAAAAUGUGUCUCUUUAACAUGAGGAUUAUUUUACGCUGACUAUUUUUAAGAAACAAAGACUCAAACUUUUUCUUGUUACCUCGUUCUCGACUGCCUAAAAGAAUUCAGAUUAAAAAAUCCUGUCUCAGGAACUGAGCUAUCAAUUUAGCAUAACAUGAACUAGGUGGUAGACAGGGAGGAACCUAGCAAAGCCUGUUUGUUGUAUUCCCCUCUGUGUUUUUCUGUUUCUAUGUGCCCAAGCACUUGUUUUCCAAAUGUUUGCUCCUCUUCACCUACCUGUGAAUUGAUUUCCUUCCCUUUGAAGUCCCUGACUCUUCCAAUCCCCAACAUCUUUUGAAUUUUGCUGAGGAUGGUAUUUAAGGUAAGGGCUUGGCCAUUUUGGUGAGUUAUCCGAUUUUCCUGGGUUUCUCCCAUAUACACAUGUUAUUAAACUUUUAUUUUUCUCCUGUUAAUCUGGCUCAUGUCAAUUCAAUUCCUAGACCAGCCAGAAGAACCUAGAAGGGUAAAGGAAAAUUUCUUCCUCCCCUACAGUACUUACACAAACCUAGAUGGUAUAACCUAGUACACACACAGGCUAUAUGGUACUACUCUUACAGGACGAACAUCAUAUAUGUGAUCCAUCGUCGACCAAAACAUCUUACGCAGCGUAUGACUGUAGCAAAAUCAUGAACACUUUGCUCUCUCUCUGUGGUAGGUAGAAUUCUAAGAAUGAUCUCCAUUGACUUUCAUCCUUGUAUAAUAUCCUCCCCCUUGAAUGUGGGUGGAAGUGAAAUCAGAAAGCUUCCAGCCAGAGAAGGAUUUAAUGUCUCAUUGCUGGCUUUGAAAAUUGGAGAGGGACACAAUGAGCUGAGAGUGGCUCCCUGCUGACAAUCAGCAAGAAAACAGGGCCCUCAGUCCAAUAAUCACAAGGAACUAAAUUCUGCCAACAACCUGAAUGAUCUUGGAAGCAGAUUUUUCCCUUGAGUCUCCAGAUAAGAGCCCAGUAGGCUGACACUGUGAUUUCAAACCUCUGAGACUCUGAGCAGUCUCUGAACCCAGUCAAGCCUGCUAGACUUCUGCUUUACAGAACUUUGAGAUAAUAAAUGCAUGUUGUUUUAAGUCACUAAAUUUGUGGUAAUUACACAGCAAUAGAAAACUAGUAUACUUUCUAUACAUAGUUCUUCUACCUAUCCAAAGACAUAAAGGUAAAAAAAUCUGAUUUUCUACAUUAUUACAACAAAAAGAUUUAAUUUAAAGUAUGAAGUCAAAAGAACUCAGAUUUCAUGACAGUCACCUA